AGAGGGAUCAUAACUGAGUACUAGACUCUCUACCCUUUGUGAACUAUUAUACCUGUUGCUUCGGCGGCGCCCGCAAGGGUGCCCGCCGGUCUCAUCAGAAUCUCUGUUUUCGAACCCGACGAUACUUCUGAGUGUUCUUAGCGAACUGUCAAAACUUUUAACAACGGAUCUCUUGGCUCCAGCAUCGAUGAAGAACGCAGCGAAACGCGAUAUGUAAUGUGAAUUGCAGAAUUCAGUGAAUCAUCGAAUCUUUGAACGCACAUGGCGCCUUCCAGUAUCCUGGGAGGCAUGCCUGUCCGAGCGUCGUUUCAACCCUCGAGCCCCUGUGGCCCGGCGUUGGGGAUCUGCCACGGCAGGCCCCUAAAACCAGUGGCGGACCCGAAGGGCCCUCUCCUUUGCGCAGUAGCAUUCGCCUCGCAUUGGGAGUCCUCGGCGUCCUGCCUCUAAACCCCCCACAAGUCCGCUUCGGCGGCACCAAGGAUGACCUCCGAUCAGGUAGGAGU
rnacentral:rRNA from 1 species